rnacentral:rRNA from 1 species
UACGAAGGGGGCUAGCGUUGCUCGGAAUCACUGGGCGUAAAGGGUGCGUAGGCGGGUCUUUAAGUCAGGGGUGAAAUCCUGGAGCUCAACUCCAGAACUGCCUUUGAUACUGAGGAUCUUGAGUUCGGGAGAGGUGAGUGGAACUGCGAGUGUAGAGGUGAAAUUCGUAGAUAUUCGCAAGAACACCAGUGGCGAAGGCGGCUCACUGGCCCGAUACUGACGUUGAGGCACGAAAGCGUGGGGAGCAAACCGG